UACUCUUCUAUUCUUUUCUGUUAAGAGUUCUCAAACCCUAACAUCAGAGCCUUGCAUCCAAGAAACUAGUGGGUAAUUCUUUCUUAAAGGUCGCAGCCAUGACUAGGUCUGUUGUGGUUGGCCCAGAAAUGGUACGGAUUGCAGAAUUGGAGGAGCAAAUGAGAAAUUUGCAGGAAGUAACUCAGAGGAAUGCUGAGGAACUGAAUGAUUUCAAGAAGGAGAUGAAAGAGGAAUUAAACAAGACUUCUUUA
rnacentral:misc_RNA from 1 species